AUGUCGACCAGCCGUUGGGUGCCUAGCGCACUUUGUGGCGAAGUUAACGCGAUAAGUCGACCGCCUGGGGAGUACGGCCGCAAGGUUAAAACUCAAGUGAAUUGACGGGGGCCCGCACAAGCGGUGGAGCAUGUGGUUUAAUUCGAUGCAACGCGAAGAACCUUACCUACUCUUGACAUCCUGCGAACUUGUGAGAGAUCACUUGGUGCCUUCGGGAGCGCAGAGACAGGUGCUGCAUGGCUGUCGUCAGCUCGUGUUGUGAAAUGUUGGGUUAAGUCCCGUAACGAGCGCAACCCUUGUCCUUAUUUGCCAGCGGGUAAUGCCGGGAACUCUAAGGAGACUGCCGGUGACAAACCGGAGGAAGGUGGGGACGACGUCAAGUCAUCAUGGCCCUUACGAGUAGGGCUACACACGUGCUACAAUGGCCGGUACAAAGGGUUGCGAGCUCGCGGGAGUCAGCUAAUCCCGAAAAGCCGGUCUCAGUCCGGAUCGGAGUCUGCAACUCGACUCCGUGAAGUCGGAAUCGCUAGUAAUCGUGAAUCAGAAUGUCACGGUGAAUACGUUCCCGGGCCUUGUACACACCGCCCGU
rnacentral:rRNA from 1 species